rnacentral:lncRNA from 1 species
GAGCCAGAAAUCAGGGAAGUAAAAUACACUUGACAUCUACAUUCGGAAAGAAAUUUUAGGAGGCAGAAGCAAAUGGAUCAGAAGCUGCUUAUAUUUUUGCAAGAUUACCAAAGAAACCAUUGGUGGAGAAAGUUCUGUGACCAACUUGUCUGAGUCUAGCUCCGGAAAGCUGCCUAAAGUAGAUGGAGUCUUCUCUGUGUGUGCCCCACUGGUCCUGCAGUUGAAGGAUCCGGUAAAGCAGCCUGCCCUGGGUUUUACACUCCAGAGGAACGUGAUUCGCUGGACUAAAGCAUUGAAGUGCAUCCUGUUUCCGGGGGGCACUGGAACAGAGCCUGGUCUGUUCUAGCCAGUCCCUUUCUAUCUCAGGAUGUUGCAUUCCCAGUACAUUCUACAGUUAUUCUUGAGAACUAUAAUCAAAUAAGCAGGGAGAACUGGGAAAGCAGAGGCUCAUCGUGGAACCCUCAAGGAGCAUGUGGUCGUCUUCAUCCCUCAGUUUAUAAAUGGCCAAGGAGAGUAAUGCAACAAAAACUUCUCAGACUUAAGAGCCAGAGUUCCUAAAGAACCGUGGACAAAGGGUUCUGUCUAGUGGGCAGAAUUCAUCCAGCGAAGGUGCUUACUGCACUCCCAGCAUGUGCUUGGGAACUUUAUUAAAAUUCCUUCCUAUUGAGAUUUAAAUUGCUGUCCAGAAUUAUACAAUAUAAUGAAUGGGGGCAUUCAUUAUGUGUAUUCUAUGCCUUCUCCAUCAUUGCAUAUUCAGUCCUCGUGCUAGAGAGAGGCAGAUAAUCUACCUUUUAAAUUUAUAGGUCUCCUAACUACAGAGGGUCACAUCUGGAUCUGAUGCAGGAAAUUUGGAACCUAGGUUUUCCCAACCUACAUCUACAAAAUGGAAUGGGUCUGAUUCACAAGUUUUCAGAGAAAGAAGCCAACCUUAAUCAGACUGUGAUAUGAUGAGGAAAUAAAAAUUGCUGUGCUAAUCAACUGAUACUGGGAAGCAUGUUUAUUAUAAUAACAUAGUCUAUGCUUAACUUUUCGAAGAAACUAAUGAUCUGGAAUAUCGAUAAAAAGAAAAAAGAAAGAAAGCAAAAGGACAGAAAGUUUUAGUGAGAAUAUGUCACUAAAAGAAAAAUACAAAAAUCUCCAGGUAAUUGUUCUUGUCUGUCACUAUAAUCAAAGUGGUAUUUCACCCCCCAUCUGUUGUCCCUGCUUUGAUGAGUGAGAAUAGAAGAGCAGUUCCUGGUUACAUGUUGGCAACAGGAGGGUAUAAAUAUCAAAUUGCCUUAAGCACUGGCAAAGGCUUAAGAGUCCAUCCUAAAUUGAGGGAUUAUCCAGUACCCUGUUUAGAAUGGAAAUAAAUCCUUGCACAGUACUUUCAACUCAAUAACUGAAAAAAUGCAGAGAGCAAAUUCAACAAUUUGUAUUACCAACAGCCAGCUGAGUCCAACUUUCUAAAUCCAUUGGAAAACAGAAAAGCAGAAAAGCAGAAAAACAGGCAUCAGUAACUGUCCUAAAAAGUGAAGGACUCAGGAGGCUGAGGCAGCAGAAUCACUUGAACCCAGGAGGCAGAGGUUGCAGUGAGCCGAGAUGGUGCCACUGCACUCCAGCCUCGGCGACAGAGCGAGACCGUCUCAAAAAUAAAAAAAAAAAAAAAAUGUGAAGGACUGAGGGAAAGAAACAGAAUAGACCAUAAUGAGUCAGAUGCGAGAUAAGAGAAACAGGGCCCGGAACAUAUGCCCUCAGAUAGAAUAAGAACAAUAUCAAAGAUGAAAAUCCAAGAAAACACCUUGAGGAAAAUAAGAUGAUAGUAAUACUAAAUAUAUAUGUUAAAGGACUAAUUUUAAUGAGAUACCUUCACAUAGGUAGGAAGAAAAAUAAAUUCAAUGUGCAGAUAUUCCUUAUGUAUAUACCAAUGAAAGUAAAGAGACAGAUAAAAUAAGUCAGGCAAAUGCUAACAUAAGAAAAUAGAGUCACAUUAUUUAUUUUGUAAUUUGAUAUCUGAAUAUUAAAAACUUACACCUUCAAAGUGCAGAUAUAACUCCCAUGAAUGUUGACACACUAAGUAACAGUAAAAUACAUUAAGCCAAUUAGAACUGUAAGAAAAAGGAAAGCAACACAGAAUAAAAACAAGACUCAGUAGGUGAUCUUUAUCUAGAAUCAGAACAAUUAAAAUAAAAUAAUGACUGGAGAAAAACUGAAGUAAGUACUAUGUUUAAUGCCUGUAAGCAAAUAUACGUAUUUUGAAUUGUGACAUGAUUAAAAAAGAACAUAUGAUUUUCAAGUGUUCAUAUAACACAUUGAAAAAUUAAGCAUAAACUCCCCGAAAUUCUUAUACCUAAAUGUCAUAAAAUAAGUACCAAUCAUACCAACUACUUUUCUGAACAUAAUGCAGUGAGAUCUAUAAAACAACUGAUAUUUUGUGGCUGUUGUUUACCGCAUCAAAAGAAGACUAAUAAAGCAAUGUAUUUACCCUGUGAAUGUAUAUGUUCAAAUAAUUUAUAUAGACUGUACACAUAAUAUUCUUUUAAUUUUCUUUAUAUUUCUUCUUAUAUAUCCAUUUUCUAAAAUAGUGAGUUAUGCUUUUAUUCACUAGAUUUUUUUCUGUUUAAAUUUGUUUAGGUAUUAUAUUUGAUAUUUUAUUAAUUUCUGUAUUGAUGUUUAUCAUUUACUUCUUCCAGUUUUCAAAUAUUUUAUGAUUAAAAUUAUAGAUCAUUGUUUUAAGACCAUCUUAUGUAAAUAGCAAAGGUUUGAUUUGUAAUGAUUUUAUAAAUAUACAUAUUUUAAUAUAAUCAAAUUGUUAAUAUGCUGGUCUACACAUUUGCCUUUAGUUUCCAUUUUUACCCAAGAUACGCUAGACAAAUAUUUUCAUGUUAUUCUAAAGAUUAGAAUUUUUAUUUUGCUGUCAAUAGCUCUUUAAUAUCUUUCAUAUGUUCUAUCUACCUAUAUCUCUGUGUGAUCUUUGUUAAACCCAUAUUCUGAGGUUUAGAUUUCCCAACCACCCAAUACUGGUGGAAAUUCUGAUAGUUUUUGAAACCAUGUCUCAAGACUUGUCCCAUGGAAAAUAAAGGAAAUCUCUAUUCUGUCAUUGGCUGGGAACUGCUCUAGGGUGUUUACAUCCCUGGCAAUUUUUAUUUUUCUCAUGUUGAGCCUGAAAGAAAGUCACCGAUCAUGAAAUGCGAGCAUGGACAGGGACAAUUAGUCCAAAGGGAAAAAUUAGAGACACUGACUGUUCCAUUAUACGUAACUAUAUACCUAGUCACUCAAUAUAAUGAAGAGUUUCAUAAUUAGUCAAAAUGAAAUUGAACCAUAUUAAUUCUACAUGGAACAAUUCAAAAUGAAUUUAGUCUGGGUAUAGAUGGUAAAGAGAAAAAGUGAAUUUAAUUAGAACACAAUUUCAAUCAAAUUAAGUCUUUGCAUGAGUUAUCAAGGACACAAUAAAUAACUGAACAAUUCCAAAGAGUUACUUUCAUAGUAAUUUCAAAUAAUGCUCUAAUUAUCUCGAA